rfam:Salmo salar isolate Sally breed double haploid chromosome ssa12, whole genome shotgun sequence.
AUUUGGCCUAAUCUCAGCUGGCAACUGUGAGCAGUUCAGUGUUUCCUCUCACAGUGGCUGCUGGGGUUCUGCUAAAC